UACAGAGGUGGCAAGCGUUGUUCGGAAUUACUGGGCGUAAAGGGCGCGUAGGCGGUCUUGUCAGUCCCUUGUGAAAUCCUCCGGCUCAACUGGGGAACUGCACGGGAAACAGCAGGGCUUGAGUUCGGGAGAGGGAAGCGGAAUUCCGGGUGUAGCGGUGAAAUGCGUAGAUAUCCGGAGGAACACCGGUGGCGAAGGCGGCUAUCUGGCCCGUAAUUGACGCUGAGGCGCGAAAGCGUGGGGAGCAAACAGG
rnacentral:rRNA from 1 species